UGGGGGAUAUUGCACAAUGGGCGAAAGCCUGAUGCAGCGACGCCGCGUGGGGGAUGAAGGCUUUCGGGUUGUAAACCUCUUUCGCUAUCGAACAAGGCCCGCUUAGGGUGGGUUGAGGGUAGGUGGAGAAGAAGCGCCGGCUAACUACGUGCCAGCAGCCGCGGUAAUACGUAGGGCGCGAGCGUUGUCCGGAAUUAUUGGGCGUAAAGGGCUUGUAGGCGGCUUGUUGCGCCUGCUGUGAAAACGCGGGGCUUCACUUCGCGCGUGCAGUGGGUACGGGCAGGCUUGAGUGUGGUAGGGGUGACUGGAAUUCCAGGUGUAGCGGUGGAAUGCGCAGAUAUCUGGAGGAACACCGAUGGCGAAGGCAGGUCACUGGGCCAUUACUGACGCUGAGGAGCGAAAGCAUGGGUAGCGAACAGG
rnacentral:rRNA from 2 species